rnacentral:rRNA from 1 species
UACGUAGGGCGCAAGCGUUGUCCGGAAUUAUUGGGCGUAAAGAGCUCGUAGGCGGUGUGUCGCGUCGGCCGUGAAAACUUGGGGCUUAACUCUGAGCGUGCGGUCGAUACGGGCAUCACUUGAGUUCGGCAGGGGAGACUGGAAUUCCUGGUGUAGCGGUGAAAUGCGCAGAUAUCAGGAGGAACACCGGUGGCGAAGGCGGGUCUCUGGGCCGUAACUGACGCUGAGGAGCGAAAGCGUGGGGAGCGAACAGG